AAGGAUGUUUAAGAGUGCUGUGUCAGUGGCACUUCUUCUCUCACUGGCACUGAUAGUGGAGUGUUCUGAUGAUUUGGAACUUACAUUUUUUGGCGUUUUCAGUAUGGCAGAAAUUGAGGUACUUUCGUUCGCCGUGUUUCAUGCAGGAGCUCUAACUGUGCUGGUAGCAGCAGUGGCUGUCAUGACAACAAUCCUGGGCAUAUUAUCCGGUUGUUGGUGCUGCAGAUGUGGUUGUUUCGCGAAACCCUACCAACCAACAGAACAGCUAUAUGUCAUGCAAAAUCAUGCUAGCUACUAGUGAAGUCAAUCCUGAUUCGGGAAUCCCGAGCAAAAAAGGUCCAGGGAUUCCCGAAAGCAAAUGGCAACAGGCGAAAUUACGCCACUGCGCUCAUCUUUAGUUCCCAUUUUGUGUAAUAAAGUCAUGUCCAUGUCAUGACUCAACUUUUAAUUUUAUGGUUAAACUUAUGUUUAAGUUCAAUAGUACAAUUUAAGCUGUCUCAUAAUGUCACAAGAAGAUAUCACAAGUGUCAUAAUUAGCCUUCUUUCUCAAGUAGUACCUUAUUAUAGUACAUAUUAUUAUUCCAUACUGACAUGGUUUGCUUUAGAUAAUCUUAUUUUCCUAAAAACACUUUUAUACUGUGGUGAUCGUUGAGUAAAGGAUUUACUCUAGAUUAUAUAGAUGUUAUAUAGAUUAUAUUGAUGUUUUUAUCACGAACGAAUUGUUGAGAAAACCCCCUAUAAGACUUGGAGACUUGAUACUGGUCUGUAAAAAUUUUUAUCUUGAAGUCACAUCAUUUUUAAGACAUGUUUUAAAGUACAUACUAUUAGUAUUAAUAACGGUACAAAGCAAACUAUGCAAUUGUCAAACUAUAAGUUUCAUGUUUGAAAAGCAAUCUUCAGUGACAUAAUUAACAUAAAAAUGGCAAACAUUAUACAACACAGUGCUCCUUUAUCAAAUUUUAUAAUUAACAAUUAACAAUUACUCAGUACUACUAAACCUAUAUAAAUAACUACAAAUCCUAAUAACUAAUAAAUACUAACUAAAUAUGUCUAACUAAGAAUUUCCUAGAGUGCCUACAUUUAGAAAUAAUUUCUGAUCUUUUAUUAAUAGUGCCUGGGUUUUUAAGUAUGUAUAGUUUCUCGUCUAAGCAGAGGCCACAAUGCCCCGCUCCAGCCUUAUAUUUCUUCGAUUUAGUAAUAAUCUUCCAGUCUAUGCUAUAUUCAAUCAUCUUCUCCUUGAGGUCCCAUAUCAAUUUUGAUAACUCGGUACUCAGUCUGUGCUUAGAAUUCUUGAAACUUUGUCGAUGAUUGUACCACCGUGUCUUAAAACUGUUUUCAGUCAAUCCAAUAUAGGCCGUUUCCUUGUUAGAUGCCGUUUUAACGGUUGCUUGGUAUACUAUGCAUUUGGCCAGACAUUGUCCUUUGAGGGGGCACUUCGAGGCGUCUCUGCAAUUACACUCUUUUUCUGGAGCUUUUUUCUUUUCAGAUUGUUUCUCUAGGACUGAUUUGUGGUGUCCUUUGAGUAUCCUUCCCAAACUGGGCAUGCAGCAAUAGCUUAUUUUCACGGUAUUCCUAUUGAUGAUUUUAUGUAACGGUAGGUUUUUCGGGAAAUGCUUAUCGAUGAGAGCGAAGAACUUUCUUCCGAUGUUGGUUGAAACGUUCGCACUGAAUGGGGGAUUGUACCAUAGGAUGUUCCUCUUCUGCGAUCUCUUUCUCUUUUUAGGCGGUGGUGUUUUAUAAUCGAUGGUGUGACUAUAUCCGCUAUCUCUAAGUGCCUUCUCAUAAUCGCUUUUGGCUUCAUUUAGGCAUGUCCUGUUGCUGGAUAUGCUUAUCAAUCGUGAUUCUAUCAUCGAGGGUAAGUUCUUCAAUAUGAUGGGAGGAUGAUUGGAUUCUGCGUUAAUGUACAAUGGUGUGUCAUUUGGUUUCCUAUAAGGUCUGUAUGACUUGUCUGUUAGGUCUAGCACGACAUCUAAGAAAUCAACCGAAUGCUGACAGAUGCUCCUAGCUACAGCUAGUAGAGCCCUUUUUCUAUAAGAGAAGAUAACCAGUUGUACUAUUAGUAUUAUGUAGUUUCACAAUUUUUUAAAUUUUGUGUUUGUAUUGCAAUACUUUAUCGGACCUUAUUUGGACGGACAUUAAUUGAACGCUGGAGGCCCUAGCGUUCAUUUUAAAGUCCGUUCAUUUAAGGUCCGUCCAAUUUAAAGUCCGUUGAAUUUAAAGUCCGUUGAAUUUUUUUCAAAAAUUUUUCCACUUCGAACUUUUUGUCCCGAAUAUGUGAUAUGACAACUUUUUAAUUUUAGUCAAUUUCAAUAGCUAUCAUUAGACUAAACUAUAUCAUUAAAUCAAUGAAAACAAGUUAUUAUAAAAUUUGUUGUUAUUAUAAAAGUGUUGCCAAGGACAUUGUCCGACGUUGUUGUAUAAUUCAUAUUACUCAGGGGAGGUAAUGAAACAGAUAAGUGCUGGGAAAGCUCCACGUAAUGUUAAGGUUAACCUAACGUUGUCUAAGAUAAAACCACUUCACGCCAGAUGGCUUGUAAAAGUUUACACUGAAAUGCAGGACCGAGGUAGUUUGAUAAAAAAGGUUUCCAAAAAGAGAGUAUUAUUGAUGCUUUAACCAUGGAAUAUUUAAUGCACGAAAACCCAUUUGAUGAAGAUGAUAUGAUAUUAAACUAUUAGACACUGAUCGUGUACACAUAUUUCAACAUUUUUACUGCUUAA